ensembl:lncRNA
GCAUGGGGAAAAGAUGGAGAGGAAAAAAUGCAGUCCGUCUGGACUGCGAUUUUGUCUGCAAAGGAAAGAUGGUCUCUGAAAGGUUCUGCGUCACACGUGGGUUCGCCGAGCCCAAUACCGAUGGUGCACCAGUCAGAGUGUUCCCCCGAGAUACAUACACUCUCCAGGUAAGCAGCACCCUGUCUGUCUCCACCAUUUUCCCAAAGUCGUAACAUAUAGGGAGAGAAGACCAUCAUCAGAGAGCCACUAGGUGAGACUCAUGAAGCCUCUUCCCGGUACUGUUCCCUGAACCACUCCCCUCCCGUUUACCCCACAGCUGAAAGCCAACCACAGGCCGCCACAAUCAGCUAUCCAGGUAGGUCGAGGAGCACUGGGAUCUUCACAAUCACAGGCCUUUGAGCGAAAGACAAUGAGUAUGAAGAUGAGGGGUUAACGGUGCAAACAUAUGGGGGUCUCCUGCAGAGUGCUUUAACUUCAAUCAGCAUAGACCCUUAUUUAGGCUGUAAAGAAACAGUAACGGUAAUGAAAAAAAAGCCAACUGUGGUGGAAAUUAGGGAUUUAGCCCUUGUGAGAAAUCAAAAGUAUCAUAAACUUGUUUGUGAUUAAGUAUUUAUUCCUUCCCCAACACUAACUACAGUAUCUUGGACAGUGCUUUUUCUCAUUUUGCUCAACUUUAAUUUCACUAAACAUUAAUAUAUGUACCCUGGUGUUUUUUUUAUAAUGUUGAUUGGAGCCUUUUUUUCCUGUUGCAACUUUGCUUUCUUCUUGUUACUUCACUGAAGCAUGUUGAGUCAGUAUGUUUAUGUUUUUAUAAGCUUCCUUGGUCAUUGGAUGUCAAGCACAGAAGAAAAGAGUAGGUUUCAUUUCACUGGUUUCCGUGAAAAGAAUUAGAAUUUGAUUUUGAGCCGUAGUUUGUAGUAGAAAAUAAUGACCAUAUAUCAACUGUAAAUUCACCUGCUCCAUUGCUCCAAAACAACGGCUCCUCAGAAUGGACCUGCUGUGUAUGUAUGUAUGUGUCUGUGUCCCGGCCUUUGAAUAGUGAACUCUAUCUGAAGCCAGCUCUCUCGCUAAUGAUCUUUUCUCCUGUCUUCACCUGAGGCCAGACUCAGGCCAUUAAAUCUCCCGUUAGUCCUUGUCAAGACAAGAAAUAUCCUCUCAAGAUCUCUUUCCCCAGUCUCCCACUAAUGACAUACCGACUGGGAUGCCAGAUAAGGCCUUAUCAAACGAUAAGUGAGUGACAGCUCCAUCAGAUACCGUGGC